rnacentral:rRNA from 1 species
AAAAAAUGUAAAUUAAAAAUAAAGAGUAGUAAUAGUUAUAUUCUUAAAACUUAAUAAAUUUGGCGGUAUUUUAAUCUAUUCAGAGGAACUUGUUUUAUAAUUGAUAAUCCUCAUUAAAUCUUACUUAAUUUUGUUUAUUUUGUAUAUCGUCGUCAUAAGAAUCUCUUAAAAAAGAAAAAAUUUUCUUAAUUAUUAAUUAAUAAAAAUGUCAGAUCAAGGUGCAGAUUAUAAUUAAGAAAAAAUGAGUUACAAUAAAUUUAUUUAAAAACGAAUUUAAAAUUUAAAUAUUUUAAUAAAGGUGGAUUUGAUAGUAAAAUAAAUUAUAGAGUUUAUUUGAUUUUAGUUCUAAAAUAUGC